ACUUGACAAAUUGUUUAUUAUGAAACAAAGUAUUAUUAUAUCUACAAAAUACAAGCAAGAUUUAUUCGUCCGAAAUUCGCGUGUGUUCCUAGCACGAAUACGUUUCCUUAUUUCAUGAGACCAGUGCAUCGCGAAGGAUCGUCAUGGAUCGUUCGUAGUUCUGAAUUAGGGCAUGCUGUCACAACGGAAUUGUGAAGCUCUUCUAACUUCUGCAACGUUCCGAAAUCUUGUUAAGAACACCCAAACUCUUUUGCCUUUUCUUAAUCUUGGCAAGUUCAGAGUAAACUGAGAAUUAUAUGAAACACAGUCAAACCAUACAACUCCAUAAGACAUAACAAUUAAGCAACUCCCCAGAGACAUGCAACAUUUUUGGAACAAAACGUAACAAAAUAGUAGUGUUGAUACGGUGAUGUGUAUUUGCAAAAAUACAAAAAGCAAUAUUAUUUCCUUCAAUAAAGAAUAAUAUUCAACUUGCUCUAACCGAGAAAUAAUCUACUCAGUUAGUACUCUAACCGAGAAAUAAUCUACUUAAGAAUACGAAAAAUUUAAGCGCCUGCCUUCCAUGGUCAGUCUUUCGAGUACAUUUAAGUUUGUAAAGACCUAAUAUUAAAUACUUGCAUAAUUUCGAACGUUCAUAUUUCAGGAAACAAUGAGCUAAGACUUACAUGUAAGAUGUCUAAAUCUACGCCAUAUCU
rnacentral:lncRNA from 1 species